rnacentral:lncRNA from 1 species
GCUGAACAUCCUCCCUCCACGGCAUGUAGAGGCUUUUUUUUCCCUCUUCAGCCUCCUUCCACGCGGCGCGCUUCAGCGUCAGGCUGGCUCCGGCCAGCUCCCAUUGUUCACAUUGUUAUUUUCAUGUCAAGGGCGUGAGAGGAAUUUUUUUUUUUUUUUUUUUCUGCCAGAACAACCAUUUAAAGCUUAGGCCUUGAAAAUACACUUACACUUGCAGGAAAACAGUUACUGGAUUCUCUGCAAGGCCAAAGGUGAGGGACAGAGCCACGUAGUUAAAAAAAAUGAAUGUUGAUACAAAUGAAAAACUGAACCUAUGAAGGAAGCCAUUUUCAGAAGAAAACUAAAACACCAAAAGUUUAAUUUGUUCUGCAGUGGCCUACAUAGAAGGUGAACUGCCACAGCAGAUUAGAAGAGUGGUCCACUGGGGCUGUUGUGCCAGCACCACUGUAGCUAUCUCUAAAAGCGUGAGAGAAAUGAUGCGUGUGACCUGGAGUGACAAAAGGGAAAGAGGAUAUCAUCUUCCAUCUGAAGAAGCAUGCUGAGACCCCUCUGGACUUCCCUAGGAUUAAGGCUUGCCCAGCUCUGUGGUACAAGAUGAAUUAUAUUAGGUAAACAAUAACGGAAGAAGAUGGCUACAAUGCUGAAUAAUAUGCAAACCAGAAGAAUGCUGCAGGAUCUUGGGGGGCAGGAAUAUGCAAGGCACUUACCACAGCACUGGCAGAAGCAAGCCAGGACAUCAGUUCACUUCGAAACCUUAAAGAGGAAUAGAUACAUUUUGGUAGGCAUCAAACAAGCUGUCCUUCAUGCACUUUGUCUAGAUGACACACUUCUCUGACAGAAGAAUGCCAGGAACACCAGCUCUUCCCCAUACCCUGAACAUGUCCAGAGGAGGUGCAGGAUUCUCCCACUCUACUCUGUUUUAAUAAACUUUGUUGCUAUUUUUAGCCUUAUGCUCUUUUUUGCUCAUAAAAUUCAGUUAUGGCCAC